rnacentral:rRNA from 1 species
UUCAAUACUACACUAAUCAUGUAGUGUGCACUUUUCUUUUAGUAAGACGCCGUGAUCUAUUAGAAAUUGAUAUACGCCAAGUAUAUAGUGGGUCAUCAAUAGGCCAGUGCGAAGUUUAUUGGAACAAAUGACACGAUCUUUUACGGUUGUGUGUAUUGUCUGGUAAGCGCAUUGUGUCCUGCAAUGACUGUCUGAUAGAUUUUACAGAUCAUAUCACUAGUGUUACGGCACUACUCGUUUACGAGCGCGGAUAUGUAUCCGAUCGACGGCGGUUAAAUUUGGGAUACCUUUUGGACCCGUCUUGAAACACGGACCAAGGAGUCUAUCUAGUAUGCGAGUAAAUGGAUAAAUUGUGAAAUCUAUUUGCGCAAGAAACUUGACUGUUGUGGGAUUACAAAAUAUAAUUUUCAUCGGUUAUAUUUUUUCCAUCCCGGAGUAUUUUCAUCAACAUAUGCUUGCAUAUGGAAAGUAUAUCAUGAGCACACUGGAUACGACCCGAAAGAUGGUGAACUAUGCCUGAUCAGGUUGAAGUCAGGGGAAACCCUGAUGGAGGACCGAAGCAGUUCUGACGUGCAAAUCG